rnacentral:rRNA from 1 species
CGAACUCUGGUAUUGAUUGGUGCUUGCAUCAUGAUUUACAUUUGAGUGAGUGGCGAACUGGUGAGUAACACGUGGGAAACCUGCCCAGAAGCGGGGGAUAACACCUGGAAACAGAUGCUAAUACCGCAUAACAACUUGGACCGCAUGGUCCGAGUUUGAAAGAUGGCUUCGGCUAUCACUUUUGGAUGGUCCCGCGGCGUAUUAGCUAGAUGGUGGGGUAACGGCUCACCAUGGCAAUGAUACGUAGCCGACCUGAGAGGGUAAUCGGCCACAUUGGGACUGAGACACGGCCCAAACUCCUACGGGAGGCAGCAGUAGGGAAUCUUCCACAAUGGACGAAAGUCUGAUGGAGCAACGCCGCGUGAGUGAAGAAGGGUUUCGGCUCGUAAAACUCUGUUGUUAAAGAAGAACAUAUCUGAGAGUAACUGUUCAGGUAUUGACGGUAUUUAACCAGAAAGCCACGGCUAACUACGUGCCAGCAGCCGCGGUAAUACGUAGGUGGCAAGCGUUGUCCGGAUUUAUUGGGCGUAAAGCGAGCGCAGGCGGUUUUUUAAGUCUGAUGUGAAAGCCUUCGGCUCAACCGAAGAAGUGCAUCGGAAACUGGGAAACUUGAGUGCAGAAGAGGACAGUGGAACUCCAUGUGUAGCGGUGAAAUGCGUAGAUAUAUGGAAGAACACCAGUGGCGAAGGCGGCUGUCUGGUCUGUAACUGACGCUGAGGCUCGAAAGUAUGGGUAGCAAACAGGAUUAGAUACCCUGGUAGUCCAUACCGUAAACGAUGAAUGCUAAGUGUUGGAGGGUUUCCGCCCUUCAGUGCUGCAGCUAACGCAUUAAGCAUUCCGCCUGGGGAGUACGGCCGCAAGGCUGAAACUCAAAGGAAUUGACGGGGGCCCGCACAAGCGGUGGAGCAUGUGGUUUAAUUCGAAGCUACGCGAAGAACCUUACCAGGUCUUGACAUACUAUGCAAAUCUAAGAGAUUAGACGUUCCCUUCGGGGACAUGGAUACAGGUGGUGCAUGGUUGUCGUCAGCUCGUGUCGUGAGAUGUUGGGUUAAGUCCCGCAACGAGCGCAACCCUUAUUAUCAGUUGCCAGCAUUAAGUUGGGCACUCUGGUGAGACUGCCGGUGACAAACCGGAGGAAGGUGGGGAUGACGUCAAAUCAUCAUGCCCCUUAUGACCUGGGCUACACACGUGCUACAAUGGAUGGUACAACGAGUUGCGAACUCGCGAGAGUAAGCUAAUCUCUUAAAGCCAUUCUCAGUUCGGAUUGUAGGCUGCAACUCGCCUACAUGAAGUCGGAAUCGCUAGUAAUCGCGGAUCAGCAUGCCGCGGUGAAUACGUUCCCGGGCCUUGUACACACCGCCCGUCACACCAUGAGAGUUUGUAACACCCAAAGUCGGUGGGGUAACCUUUUAGGAACCAGCCGCCUAAGGUGGGACAGAUGAUUAGG